AUCCAGCUGACGCGUCCCAAAUAGGACGAGGCGCACAUCAUGGAU
rnacentral:hammerhead_ribozyme from 1 species